rnacentral:rRNA from 1 species
AUUGAACGCUGGCGGCAUGCUUUACACAUGCAAGUCGAACGGUAACAGGCCUUCGGGUGCUGACGAGUGGCGAACGGGUGAGUAAUGCAUCGGAACGUGCCCAGAGGUGGGGGAUAACGCAGCGAAAGCUGUGCUAAUACCGCAUGUGAUCUGAGGAUGAAAGCGGGGGACCAGGCAGCAAUGUUUGGCCUCGCGCCUUUGGAGCGGCCGAUGUCGGAUUAGGUAGUUGGCGGGGUAAAGGCCUACCAAGCCGACGAUCUGUAGCUGGUCUGAGAGGACGACCAGCCACACUGGAACUGAGACACGGCCCAGACUCCUACGGGAGGCAGCAGUGGGGAAUUUUGGACAAUGGGCGCAAGCCUGAUCCAGCAAUGCCGCGUGCGGGAAGAAGGCCUUCGGGUUGUAAACCGCUUUUGUACGGAACGAAAAGGCUCUGGCUAAUACCUGGGGCUGAUGACGGUACCGUAAGAAUAAGCACCGGCUAACUACGUG